rnacentral:rRNA from 1 species
GAGUUUGAUCGUGGCUCAGAACGAACGCUGGCGGCAGGCCUAACACAUGCAAGUCGAACGAGCUGAGACCUUCGGGUCUCGAUGCUAGUGGCGCACGGGUGAGUAACACGUGGGAAUCUACCCAAUAGUACGGAAUAACUGAGGGAAACUUUGGCUAAUACCGUAUACGCCCUUCGGGGUAAGGAUUUAUUCGCUAUUGGAUGAGCCCGCGUCUGAUUAGGUAGUUGGUGAGGUAACGGCGUCACCAAGCCGACGAUCAGUAGCUGGUCUGAGAGGAUGAUCAGCCACACUGGGACUGAGACACGGCCCACGACUCCUACGGGAGGCAGCAGUGGGGAAUAUUGGACAAUGGGCGCAAGCCUGAUCCAGCCAUGCCGCGUGAGUGAAGAAGGCCUUCGGUU